GAAAUGCGAUACUUGGUGUGAAUUGCAGAAUCCCGUGAACCAUCGAGUCUUUGAACGCAAGUUGCGCCCGAAGCCAUUAGGCCGAGGGCACGCCUGUUCGAGCGUCAUUUGUACCCUCAAGCCUUGCUUGGUGUUGGGUGUUUGUCCCCCGGGACUCGCCUUAAAACAAUUGGCAGCCGGCAUAUUGGUUUCGGAGCGCAGCACAAAUUGCGGUCCUUCCAUGAAUGUCGGCGUCCAUGAAGCCCCCAUUUUCCACUUUUGACCUCGGAUCAGGUAGGGAUACCCGCUGAACUUAA
rnacentral:misc_RNA from 1 species